rnacentral:rRNA from 1 species
UACGAAGGGGGCUAGCGUUGCUCGGAAUCACUGGGCGUAAAGGGUGCGUAGGCGGAUCUUUAAGUCAGGGGUGAAAUCCUGGAGCUCAACUCCAGAACUGCCUUUGAUACUGAGGAUCUCGAGUUCGGGAGAGGUGAGUGGAACUGCGAGUGUAGAGGUGAAAUUCGUAGAUAUUCGCAAGAACACCAGUGGCGAAGGCGCUCACUGGCCCGAUACUGACGCUGGAGGCACGAAAGCCAAGGGAGCAAACAGG